rnacentral:misc_RNA from 1 species
UCACCACUUCGUUACCCAUAGGUAAGGGAGAGAGGACCAAAUCCAAUGCAGAUGACGCGUGGAGUAAAAUUGCAAUUGAUAUGACUAUGAAUUUUUUAUGAAUUGGACAUUGACGGAUGGAUUAAAGGACUAAUUUUCAAAUUUACGUUAUAAUUAUAAAAAAAUUGACGCCGCAAUUGUUAGCACUAUGGAUAAUAUUUUGGUUUGUUAUGCUUUGCAUGCGCUUAUGGAUGAAGUGAAGGUAAAGCCUCCAAAAGCUUAGGAAAGGAGAGCAAUUGUG